GUCUCCGUAAGAGCAGCACAUGUACUAAAAUUAGAAGGAUGGAGAGAAGAUUAGUCUGGCCCCUGCGUGAGAAUGACAUGCAAAUUCGUGAAGUGUUCCGUAUUUGU
rnacentral:snRNA from 1 species